rnacentral:rRNA from 1 species
UACGGGAGGCAGCAGUGGGGAAUAUUGCACAAUGGGCGAAAGCCUGAUGCAGCUAUGCCGCGUGUAUGAAGAAGGCCUUAGGGUUGUAAAGUACUUUCAUCGGGGAGGAAAAAACAAAACUAAUAAUUUUAUUUCUUGACGUUACCCGAAAAAGAAGCACCGGCUAACUCCGUGCCAGCAGCCGCGGUAAUACGGAGGGUGCUAGCGUUAAUCAGAAUUACUGGGCGUAAAGAGCACGUAGGUGGUUUUUUAAGUCAGAUGUGAAAUCCCUGGGCUUAACCUAGGAACUGCAUUUUGAAACUGAAAUACUAGAGUAUCGUAGAGGGAGGUAGAAUUCUAGGUGUAGCGGUGAAAUGCGUAGAUAUCUGGAGGAAUACCUGUGGCGAAAGCGGCCUCCUAAACGAACACUGACACUGAGGUGCGAAAGCGUGGGGAGCGAAACAGGGAUUUAGAUACC